rnacentral:rRNA from 1 species
GAUGAACGCUGGCGGCGUGCCUAAUACAUGCAAGUCGAGCGAACAGACGAGGAGCUUGCUCCUCUGACGUUAGCGGCGGACGGGUGAGUAACACGUGGAUAACCUACCUUUAAGACUGGGAUAACUUCGGGAAACCGGAGCUAAUACCGGAUAAUAUAUUGAACCGCAUGGUUCAUUAGUGAAAGACGGUUUUGCUGUCACUUAUAGAUGGAUCCGCGCCGCAUUAGCUAGUUGGUAAGGUAACGGCUUACCAAGGCAACGAUGCGUAGCCGACCUGAGAGGGUGAUCGGCCACACUGGAACUGAGACACGGUCCAGACUCCUACGGGAGGCAGCAGUAGGGAAUCUUCCGCAAUGGGCGAAAGCCUGACGGAGCAACGCCGCGUGAGUGAUGAAGGUCUUCGGAUCGUAAAACUCUGUUAUUAGGGAAGAACAAAUGUGUAAGUAACUAUGCACGUCUUGACGGUACCUAAUCAGAAAGCCACGGCUAACUACGUG